CAAGUACAGGUACCUACAUGCAGUGAAGGUACUAAUGACUGGAUACAAGUACCUACAUGCAGUAAAGGUACUAAUGACUGGAUACAAGUACAGGUACCUACAUGCAGUGAAGGUACUAAUGACUGGAUACAAGUACCCACAUGCAGUAAAGGUACUAAUGACUGGAUACAAGUGCCCACAUGCAGUAAAUGUACCAAUGACUGAAUACAAGUACAGGUACCUACAUGCAGUGAAGGUACUAAUGACUGGAUACAAGUACCUACAUGCAGUAAAGGUACUAAUGACUGGAUACAAGUACCUACAUGCAGUAAAGGUACUAAUGACUGGAUACAAGUACAGGUACCUACAUGCAGUGAAGGUACUAAUGACUGGAUACAAGUACCUACAUGCAGUAAAGGUACUAAUGACUGGAUACAAGUACAGGUACCUACAUGCAGUGAAGGUACUAAUGACUGGAUACAAGUACAGGUACCUACAUGCAGUGAAGGUACUAAUGACUGGAUACAAGUACAGGUACCUACAUGCAGUAAAGGUACUAAUGACUGGAUACAAGUACCUACAUGCAGUAAAGGUACUAAUGGCUGAAUACAAGUACCUACAUGCAGUGAAUGUACUAAUGAUUGAAUACAAGUACAGGUACCUACAUGCAGUAAAGGUACUAAUGACUGGAUACAAGUACCCACAUGCAGUGAAGGUACUAAUGGCUGAAUACAAGUACCCACAUGCUGUAAAGGUACUAAUGACAUACAAGUACCUACAUGCGACAAGGGUACUAAUACCACACUGCAAGUCCAAAUACAUACAUGUAGUAAAACUAUUAAUGGAACACUACAGGUAAGAGUACAUAAAUGUAGUGAAGGUACUAAUACCACAUUACAAGUUCAAGUUCAUGCAUAUAGUAAAAAUAUUACCAGAAUAAAAGUAAAAGUACUUAAAUGUAGUAAAAGUAUUGAUAGAACGUUGCAGUUAAAAUAAUUCUUUCAGGAAAAAAAACAAUAAUAAUUAAUAAUAAAUAUUCAGAGUAGACUAAUAUUUGUGUAUAAUAAAUACUCAUAUAUAAUAAAUGUAACUCUUCAUAAAAGAAAAUCUCCAAAACAUUUUUCUUCAGAAACAUUUUUCCUCUUUCUAUUCCAAGAAAAAAAAAAGGUAUUU
ensembl:lncRNA